rnacentral:misc_RNA from 1 species
GAAGCAGAAGAGAGAAUCAUCAGAGAAGAAGAUGAAAGAAGCAAAGCGUAGUCGUAAACGGAAGAGAGGAAAGGUUCAUAAGAAAUCUUCCACUCCGGCCGGAAACGAUCCUUCUAAGGUCUCCGGCGUGAAUCAGUCUAUGGUUUCGAAUACGGCGAUCUCAAAGACUAAGAAACCUUCGUCUUUUCUCGAUAAGAUGAAGGCGAGAUUAUCAGGAGGACACUUCCGUAUGCUUAAUGAAAAACUCUACACUUGCUCAGGAGAUGAGGCGCUUAAUUAUUUCAAGGAAAAUCCGGAACUUUUUAAUGUGUAUCAUGCAGGGUAUCAGGAGCAAAUGUUACAUUGGCCAGAAAAACCUGUUAAUAUAAUCACAAAAUGGCUAAAGGAUCAUAGCCCUUCAUUAAUUGUUGCAGACUUUGGCUGCGGAGAUGCUCGGCUGGCAAGAAGUGUGAAGAACAAAGUGUGGUCUUUGGAUCUUGUCGCACAUGAUCCUUCAGUAAUUGCUUGUGACAUGUCAAAUACCCCUCUAGAGUCCUCGUCAGUUGAUGUGGCCAUCUUUUGCCUUUCAUUGAUGGGAACCGAUUAUCCAAGCUUUCUUCAGGAAGCGCGCAGAGUUCUUAAACCCAGGGGGUGGCUUUUGAUAGCAGAAGUUAAAAGCAGGCUUGAUCCAACUACAGGGGGUGCAGACCCAAGCAAUUUUUUGAAAGCUAUUUGUGAUCUUGGGUUUACUAUUGAGUCAAAGGAUUUCUCUAACA